rnacentral:rRNA from 1 species
GAUGAACGCUGGCGGCGUGCCUAAUACAUGCAAGUCGAGCGAACGGACGAGAAGCUUGCUUCUCUGAUGUUAGCGGCGGACGGGUGAGUAACACGUGGAUAACCUACCUAUAAGACUGGGAUAACUUCGGGAAACCGGAGCUAAUACCGGAUGAUAUUUUGAACCGCAUGGUUCAAAAGUGAAAGACGGUCUUGCUGUCACUUAUAGAUGGAUCCGCGCUGCAUUAGCUAGUUGGUAAGGUAACGGCUUACCAAGGCAACGAUGCAUAGCCGACCUGAGAGGGUGAUCGGCCACACUGGAACUGAGACACGGUCCAGACUCCUACGGGAGGCAGCAGUAGGGAAUCUUCCGCAAUGGGCGAAAGCCUGACGGAGCAACGCCGCGUGAGUGAUGAAGGUCUUCGGAUCGUAAAACUCUGUUAUUAGGGAAGAACAUAUGUGUACGUAACUGUGCACAUCUUGACGGUACCUAAUCAGAAAGCCACGGCUAACUACGUG